CAACGUGCUCCCUUAUAUCUUCCUCCUUUAUGUUUACCAGGAAAAGUUAUUUUCUCAUGACCUUCUCUUCCGGUUAUUCUGAUAUUCUUUUCUCAAAUCUGAUCCAAACGUAUUGCCGCGAAGAAACACAAAUCGUUUUUAUUUUGGGAUGUUGAGAAUGGAAAUUAAAAUCGAAAAGGAUUCUGGUAAUGAUGGGAUUUGGAGUGAUGAAGAUAAAGAUAUGAUUUAAUCAAUUGAUUCACGUUUUCAUGUCGUUUGUCAUGGGAUAAAGUCACUGUUCAUGGCAGGUACUACAGUGCGUCAGUGCCAAAUACUUUCUGGAUUGGAGAUUGGAUCAAAUAAGUGACCCUUAGUUGUAUCUACCACUUACUAAGUUGACUUUGAUGAACUGGUUGAUCUUAAAAUUCGAGGAACAUGCCUACUAGAGCUCUCAUGGUGAUGGUUUCUUCUGUCCGCAAGGUCUUACUUGUAUGGUUUCUUCUUCUUGAGUUGUAUGAUACUCCAGUAUCUAAUCACAUCAACAGUCAAUGCGGCAUAUGACAAGUCUAAUUUGCACGAUAUCAUUACCAACUACUACAUAUAUAAACAACCCAAUCAUACUAGUGCGGGAGAGAUUCUUGGGCUGAUGUAACUUGUAAGCAGUGGUGGAUGUUUAAUUCAGUGGGAUCGUAUUGUCCUCUAACUCCAAAUCAUUGACAGCAAUAUGGAGCUAUGCGUUGGAGACGGGGCACUUGGAGAUAUUUUUCCCUGGGAUAUGAUUGAAUGGCUGCAAUAACUGGCACACCUAGAAGUUAAAUCAUACUACUUUUGUAGAAAGAAAAAAAGUUCUUUGUUGUUUUGAGCAUUAAUGUAUGUAGCUUUUGCUGAACUUGAGAAUGGUUGUUGUCAAGUUGAUUAAUAUAAUGGGUUGCAUUUGUUUGAAAAA